UUACGGCCACAUCACGUUGAAACACCGGUUCCCGUACGAUCAUCAAAGUUAAGCAACGUCGAGUCUGGUCAGCACGUAGAUGCGUAACGACGUGGGAAUACCAGGUGCUGUAAG